AUUGAACGCUGGCGGCAGGCUUAACACAUGCAAGUCGAGCGAGCGGCGGACGGGUGAGUAAUGUCUGGGAAACUGCCCGAUGGAGGGGGAUAACUACUGGAAACGGUAGCUAAUACCGCAUACCAUCAGAUGUACCCAGAUGGGAUUAGCUAGUAGGUGGGGUAAUGGCGCACCUAGGCGACGAUCCCUAGCUGGUCUGAGAGGAUGACCAGCCACACUGGAACUGAGACACGGCCCAGACUCCUACGGGAGGCAGCAGUGGGGAAUAUUGCACAAUGGGCGCAAGCCUGAUGCAGCCAUGCCGCGUGUAUGAAGAAGGCCUUCGGGUUGUAAAGCACUUUCAGCGGGGAGGCGUUACCCGCAGAAGAAGCACCGGCUAACUCCGUGCCAGCAGCCGCGGUAAUAC
rnacentral:rRNA from 1 species